AGUGAACGCUGGCGGCAGGCCUAACACAUGCAAGUCGAACGGCAGCACAGUAAGAGCUUGCUCUUACGGGUGGCGACGGGCGGAUGAGUGAGGCAUAUAUCGCAUUCUACUUUUUCGUGGGUGAUAACGCAGGGGAACUUACGCUAAUACCGCAUACGACGAACGGGUGUAAUCUUGUGAUCUUCGGAUCUCGCUCGACUGUAUGAGCCGAUGUCGGAUUAGUUAGUUGGCGGGGUAAAGGCCCACCAAAGCGACGAUCCGUAGCUGGUCUGAGAGGAGGGUCAGGCACACUGGAACUGAGACACGAUCCAGACUCCUACGGGAGGCAGCAGAGGGGAAUAUAGGACAAGGGGCGGAAGCCUGAUCCAGACAUGCCGAGUGGGUGAAGGAGGCCUUCGGGUUGUAAAGCCCUUUUGUUGGGAAAGAAGAGCAGAAGGUUAAUACCGCGCUGUUUUGACGGUACCAAAAGAAUAAGCACCGGCUAACUUCGUG
rnacentral:rRNA from 1 species